rnacentral:misc_RNA from 1 species
UUUCCGUAGGUGAACCUGCGGAAGGAUCAUUAUUGUAUUACCAAGGUCCGAAGGCUGUCUCUAAGCCGCCAGUACGUUCACUCCCGAGUGCCCCGCCACACCUCCAUCUCACCCCCAUGUGCACCACCGCGUGGGUCCAACUUUGGCAUGUUUGGAGGGGGGCUUACGUUUUCAGUAAAACUUUGUAUGCAGUGUAGAAUGUAUUUUUUGUUUUUGCGUUCACGCAAUCAAUACAACUUUUAACAACGGAUAUCUUUGCUCCCUCAUCUAAGAAGAACC